GCUGGGAUAGCUCAGCUGGUAGAGCAUGAGACUCUCCAUCUUAGGGUCGUGGGUUGGAGUCCCACAUUGGACA